rnacentral:rRNA from 1 species
CCUUUUGCUCUACGGAGGUUUCCGUCCUCGCUGAGCUCGCCUUAGGACACCUGCGUUACCAUUUGACAGAUGUACCGCCCCAGUCAAACUCCCCGCCUGACGCUGUCUUCGGAGCGGGUCCGGGCNACCGGUGAGGGCGGCCGCUUAGCACCAGAAAUCGGACGAACCGUCGGAACGCCCGUUUCCCGACUCACCGAAUAAGUAAAGAAACGAUGAGAGUAGUGGUAUUUCA